AGCGGAGGAAAAGAAACUAACA
rnacentral:snRNA from 1 species